rnacentral:snRNA from 1 species
GGAUGUGAGGGCCACCUGGUUUUGACAUCUGCCACCUCAUGGGUUGUCAGGGUUUAUUCAGCUGAUCUGGUUGGUUAGGACAGUGUCACCUUCCUCCUUCGUAGCUCCAUAUGUGCCCCUCUUUAAGNUGUACUCUUGGUGGUGUGAAUGAGAAUGGCUCCCAUAGGCUCAUAAAUUUGGAUGCUUGGUUCCUAGUUGGUGGAACUAUGAGGGAAGGAUUAAGAGGUGUGUCACUAGGGGUGGGCUUUGAGGUUUAAAAAGCCCAUGCCG